CAUCAGGAAUUCUUCCAUCUCAUGUCUUCCAGCAUAUAUCAUCAGAUCACUUAUUUGUCCUAGUUCAGCACUGCUAAUAAGGUGGAUCAAGUUGGUGCAAGAGAAGUAACAAGUAUGAAGCAGUCUUUCCCAUGCACAAGUUUGGUUUUCUGUAUGUCUCCAGUCUAGCCCAUAUACUUCAUCCAGGCUGCUUUUGUUUGUUUGCUUGUCUAUGUUUAUUUAGGAUGAUUUUGAGAUUAAUUAAUAAUGUUUGGUUGGUUGUAUCUCUGUAUGUUCUGUAUGUUGUAUCCAGUAAUAGUGUUUGAUUGGAUAUUUGGAGCUUGGCUUU
rnacentral:lncRNA from 1 species